rnacentral:rRNA from 1 species
GAUGAACGCUAGCGGCAGGCCUAAUACAUGCAAGUCGAACGGUGUCUUCGGACAUAGUGGCGCACGGGUGCGUAACACGUAUGCAACCUACCUUACAUUGGGGGAUAGCCUUUCGAAAGGGAGAUUAAUACCGCAUAAGACAGUAGCUGGGCAUCCAGCAGCUGUUAAAGAUUUAUCGAUGUAAGCUGGGCAUGCGUCCACAUUAGCUAGUUGGUGAGGUAACGGCUCACCAAGGCAAUGAUUGGUAGGGGAACUGAGAGGUCAAUCCCCCACACUGGAACUGAGUGACGGGCCAGACUCCUACGGGAGGCAGCAGUAGGGAAUAUUGGGCAAUGGACGCAAGUCUGACCCAGCCAUGCCGCGGGCAGGAUGAAGGCGUUAUGCGUUGUAAACUGCUUUUAUACAGGAAGAAACGACUCUUGCGAGAGGCAUUGACGGUACUGUAUGAAUAAGCUCCGGCUAACUACGUGCCAGCAGCCGCCGUAAAAC